rnacentral:rRNA from 1 species
AAACAUGCAAGUCGAACGCGACCCUUCGGGGUUGAGUGGCGAACGGCGGAGUAAUACAUGAACAACGUGCCCUUAAGCCUGGGAUAUACAGAGGAAACUCUGGGCAAUACCAGAUGUGGCGACGACUCGGCAUCGAGUUUUCGUUAAACGGUUUUUCGCUUUUGGAGCGGUUCAUGGCCUAUCAGGUAGUUGGUGAGGUAAAGGCUCACCAAGCCGACGACGGGUAGCGGGUCUGAGAGGAUGGUCCGCUCGAGUGGGACUGAGACACGGCCCACACACCUACGGGUGGCAGCAGUUGGGAAUCUUGCACAAUGGGGGAAACCCUGAUGCAGCGACGCCGCGUGGAGGAUGAAGGUUUUCGGAUUGUAAACUCCUUUUUUGGGGAAAGACUUAGGACGGUACCCCCAGAAUAAGCACCGGCUAACUACGUGCCAGCAGCCGCGGUAAGACGUAGGGUGCAAGCGUUGUCCGGAUUUACUGGGCGUAAAGAGCGCGUAGGCGGCUUGUUAAGUGUGAAGUGAAAUCUCCAGGGCUCAACCCGGAAACUGCUUCGCAUACUGGCAAGCUUGAGGGACACAGAGGCAACUGGAAUUUCUGGUGAAGCGGUGAAAUGCGUAGAUAUCAGAAGGAACUCCUAUGGCGAAGGCAGGUUGCUGGGUGUCAUCUGACGCUGAGGCGCGAAAGCGUGGGUAGCAAACAGGAUUAGAUACCCUGGUAGUCCACGCCCUAAACUAUGGAUGCUAGUCGUGAGGGGUAUAGACCCCCUUCGUGACGCAGCUAACGCAUUAAGCAUCCCGCCUGGGGACUACGGCCGCAAGGUUGAAACUCAAAUGAAUUGACGGGGAGCCGCACAAGCGGUGGAGCAUGUGGAUUAAUUCGAUACUAACCGAAGAACCUUACCCAGGUUUGACAUCAAUGGCAAGGGGUUGAAAGACCUCCCUCCCCAAAAGGGACCAGAAGACACUUGUUGCAUGGCUGUCGUCAGCUCGUGCCGUGAGGUGUACGGUUAAGUCCGCCAACGAGCGCAACCCACGUUCUGUGUUACCAGCGAGUAAAGUCGGGCACUCACAGGAGACCGCCGGUGUAAGCCGGAGGAAGGUGUGGAUGACGUCAAGUCGGCAUGGCAGUUACGCCUGGGGCUUCACACAUACUACAAUGGAUGAAACAGAGGGCAGCAAUACCGUGAGGUGGAGCGAAUCCCAAAAAUACAUCCCCAGUUCAGAUUCUAGUCUGCAACUCGACUAGAUGAAGGCGGAAUCGCUAGUAAGCGCAGGUCAGCUAUACUGCGUUGAAUACGUUCCCGGCUCUUGUACACACCGCCCGUCAAGUCACCUGAAUUGUCUUCACCCGAAGUGCGUGGCCCAACCGAAAGGAGGGAGCG